ensembl:lncRNA
CCACUCACUGCGUUGACGUUCGCUGUGCUCUGCAUCGUGCCAUCCUUUGUUGUGGAGCUGAGGGAAGGAAUCCCCUUGCUGCUCCGCUACCCGCCUGUUUGCUUUUCCCGACAGUGGGGAAGCUGCGAGCUGCAAUUGGAGAACACUCGAGCCAACACCUAGUCUUAGCUGCCUCCUUGCAUUGUAGUAGCUGAAAUGUGGUGAAUUGGAUUCAGCUCAGUCCAAGUGUUAGCAUUUGCAUUUGGAUGUUCCGUAUCUGGGAUUUGUCUGACUGUCAAAGUUAUGGCGCUUGAAAUAAAGCAUAUUGUUUUUGCCGAAGGAGCUACAGGAUGUUUUUCGUUUUGUCAUUACAAGGACAUAUUUUAACACAUUUAAAAUUCUUUCAUCUGAAAUCUCUUCCCGCUGUAGGUGUGAUUGAAUUCAUCUUGUUCUGGUUAUGCUGAAACACCAAAGGUGUUUCACAAGAACAGAAGCGCACGUAUACCAUGCUCUGGCUAAUGUCAGACAUUUUACUUGUGGAAUUACAUAUCAGCGUUAUUCCUCUUUGCUCUUGGCAAUUUGGGCCUGAUAGAGAGCGGUAUGCUUCCUUUGUGUAGAAAAGCCAGUAAGUGCCAUUAUUAAGCCAGCCAGAGGGGUCAGCGCUCACAGACAGGCACAGAACAGCCGUAGAGCAAUGAGCGUUGACACUCCCAUGCUCCAGACUGCUGCCCCGGGGAUUCAGGAAUGUUUUCUCAACCUCAAAACAAAGAGAAAGCAAAAUGGAGGAAUGCGUUGUUUACUCAUAUGGCUUACAGCUUGACUCAAGACUAUUUCAGCUUAUUAAAACUCUGACCGGCUUUGCGACUUUUAGGACUGAACUCUGAGCUGCCUCCUAGAAUUUUAACGCAGCUUCCAAAUACCACCACAGCCACAGUCUGACAGAUUUGCGGUUGGCAUAGAUUGCAUACAUCAGUAUACAGUUGGAUAUAUUUGAUACACACAGCAAGCUAUGCUACAUUUAGACCUCUUUCCCCUGUAGGUGGAAGGUAUUUUACUGGGACGAUACUGCAUUUGCUCCUUUCAUUUUAAAACAGCAUCAGCUUUCCAACAUGCAGUGUUUAACAGCAAAGUUUUCACUUGUAUACUGAUAGAAAUAAACAAAAUUCUAGAAUCUGGGGAAGUAUGUGGGAGAUCAGUGCAGAUUCCACGAUUCCUAGAAGAUAAGCCAUUUUUACUGUUGCUGACGUUAUAUUGCUAAAACAUCUAUUUUUAAAUAAAUGUAAUC